AGCCACAGUAGCGUUCAUACCAGGUAGUGAAUUUGCUGUUGGGAUUUUGGUCUUUUCUGUGUGACAUAGUAGCUGUAGUGGGGAGAACUUAGAGCAAAAUUCCAGUUCCAGUUAAGCAGAGGAGACUGGGAAGACUGUGCUAACCUUACACGCUGUUUUCUGUCAGCCUUGUGCAUUGUAUUUUCUAGAUUUCUGUUAUCUUUAUUAAGGCCCAUUUCAUCGGUAUAAGGGCAGGGUAGGGAAAAUUUUACUUACAAUUUUUCUCUAUGGGAAUAUGGCACAGUUUUGUAAGACAUAUUCUCACAGGUUUCUGAAUUUUAACAUAAAGGAAUAAAAAACAGGAAAAUGGAUGCUCAAAAAAUUUAAUAACAUAAAGUAUAAAUAAUAUCAAACCAUGUUUCCAACAGAACAAGAGUUUUCUAAAGACUAAUUGGCACAUGGAGACCAAUCAAGCUGUUAGAAAUAUGAUUUUAGCUCUAUAACAUCCAGCUAACUUUUUCAUUAUGUCUGUCAUACAAGCUGAGCAUGCAGCAUUCUCUGCCCUUUGGUUAACAAAUGGAAGCAGGUUAUAGAAGUCAGAAUGCAAUUUAAAGCUGAUGAAAAGUUGUGAGAGGUUUUAUAUAACAAAAGCUUAUAAAUUGAGAGUUAAGGUAUAUUUCCUUUUAAGAUGAGAUUCUAGCAACAGACCAUUCUUUUUGUUAUGUGAAUUAGUGUUGCCACGACACAGCACAGUGUUCAAGGUUCUUUCAUGUUUGAGAUCUCCUUUCUGAGUACUGACAUUUCAUAUCCUUAUUGCUUCUUACAGAAGUAACCUGGAUUGCAGAAUUAUCUUUUGACUGCCUCAAGUCAGUAUGGCCAAUCUGUUAAGAUAUUGAAGUUAAGGAUCCAGUCAAAAGAAUCUGUGAACCAUGAUCAGUUGUCUUGGAGAAAGGGAGAGACAGCUAUAUCGUGGAGAUAUAGCUAUUAGAAGAUAGGAGGGGACCACCUGGAACCACAUUCAAGGCAAAAAGGGAGGCCCUGGGGAAUUAUCUUUACUUUGACAUCUGCAAGAACUUCAUCAAGUAUUUAAACUUCAAGUAUGAAAUUCAAUUUUAAGUUUUCAGGAAUGAUCCUUAUGAAAUUGCUCCCAUUUCCUCCUUUGACUGAGUAACCAGCCUGCAGAUGAUGGAUACAGCAGAUGAGAUGUUUGACUGCACUAAGACUUUUAUCAUUAAAGCUUAAGCAAAUCAUGCAAUGGAGUAAAAGCAGACUGCUUCAAAAGGAGAGAUAUGUCCUGCUACUGAAGGUGUGUCCAGACCUGAGCAACUUUAAAAAGCAACUGGAGGAGAACAGCAAAAACAUACAGAAACCAUGACUUACAGGUAUGUAAUAUUGAAAGAGUUGGAUUUGGAGAAAGGCUGAAUGGACAUAAUUUCUUCCUAUGUAAAAUAUUGUUACAGAAAGAUGAGAAGCUGUACCAGCGGAGCAUAAAAUAAUCAGCUUCUAAUUGGGAGAGGAAAAAA